AGCUCCUGCUGCUGCUGCUGCUGCUGCUGCUGCUGCUGGCCAACAAUUUAUUAACAUAUUAACCAACAAUUGUUGCAAUUUGAUUUGCUUUAUGGCCGCAACGUGCUCGCGAUGAGCCGCCAGCGAUAAGCAGUUGCAGAUGCAGAUGGAUGGCGUGGCUGUGGCUGUGGCAGCUUCUGCCCACGAUCCCGAAAACAUAAAUAAGAAAAAAGAAAAAAGAAAACAAGAAAUUUCGCGUUAACUUCGGCCCGUGUGUGUGUGUGUGUGUCUUGUACUGUUUUUUGCUGUGGUCUGGGAACAACUCGAUGAAAAAAAAGGUUACACAAUUCAUUUCAUUUGGUGCAAGGCAUAAAUCAAGGCAACAACAAGCGGCACAGAGGUAAACCGGCCACGGGAAGCACACAGCCCUUGGAGCAAGCAGUGGAGCGUGCAGCGGAGCAAGCAGUGGGGUGAGCAGCGGGACAAGCAGUGGACCAAGCAGAGCGAAUGAAUCUUCCUGCUGGGAGGUCGCC
rnacentral:lncRNA from 1 species